GCACUGCUGAGGAGUCCCAUAAUAGGACGAAACGGGCGCCCAGUGC
rnacentral:hammerhead_ribozyme from 1 species